UGGUGGAGUGAUUUGUCUGGUUAAUUCCGUUAACGAACGAGACCUCGACCUGCUAAAUAGAGGCAUCAAUUCAGUUUCUACUGAUUGACUGUCAUCUUCUUAGAGGGACUAUCGGUGCGUAGCCGAUGGAAGUUCGAGGCAAUAACA
rnacentral:rRNA from 1 species